ACCUAGGCCAUGUCUGAUCUCGGAAACUAAGCAGGGUUGGGCCUGGUUAGUACUUGGAUGGGAGACCACCUAGGAAGACCAGGUGCUGUAGGUG
rnacentral:rRNA from 1 species